rnacentral:rRNA from 1 species
UAGGGAAUCUUCGGCAAUGGACGGAAGUCUGACCGAGCAACGCCGCGUGAGUGAAGAAGGUUUUCGGAUCGUAAAGCUCUGUUGUUAGAGAAGAACGUUGGUAGGAGUGGAAAAUCUACCAAGUGACGGUAACUAACCAGAAAGGGACGGCUAACUACGUGCCAGCAGCCGCGGUAAUACGUAGGUCCCGAGCGUUGUCCGGAUUUAUUGGGCGUAAAGCGAGCGCAGGCGGUUCUUUAAGUCUGAAGUUAAAGGCAGUGGCUUAACCAUUGUACGCUUUGGAAACGGGAGGACUUGAGUGCAGAAGGGGAGAGUGGAAUUGCAUGUGUAGCGGUGAAAUGCGUAGAUAUAUGGAGGAACACCGGUGGCGAAAGCGGCUCUCUGGUCUGUAACUGACGCGGAGGCUCGAAAGCGUGGGGAGCAAACAGG